AUUGAACGCUGGCGGCAGGCCUAACACAUGCCAGUCGAGCGGAUGAAGGGAGCUUGCUCCUGGAUUCAGCGGCGGACGGGCGAGUAAUGCCUAGGAAUCUGCCUGGUAGUGGGGGAUAACGUCCGGAAACGGGCGCUAAUACCGCAUACGUCCUGAGGGAGAAAGUGGGGGAUCUUCGGACCUCACGCUAUCAGAUGAGCCUAGGUCGGAUUAGCUAGUUGGUGGGGUAAAGGCCUACCAAGGCGACGAUCCGUAACUGGUCUGAGAGGAUGAUCAGUCACACUGGAACUGAGACACGGUCCAGACUCCUACGGGAGGCAGCAGUGGGGAAUAUUGGACAAUGGGCGAAAGCCUGAUCCAGCCAUGCCGCGUGUGUGAAGAAGGUCUUCGGAUUGUAAAGCACUUUAAGUUGGGAGGAAGGGCAGUAAGUUAAUACCUUGCUGUUUUGACGUUACCAACAGAAUAAGCACCGGCUAACUUCGUG
rnacentral:rRNA from 1 species